rnacentral:rRNA from 1 species
UACGAAGGGGGCUAGCGUUGUUCGGAAUCACUGGGCGUAAAGGGCGCGUAGGCGGCUUUAUAAGUCGGGGGUGAAAGCCUGUGGCUCAACCACAGAAUUGCCUUCGAUACUGUAGAGCUUGAGUCCGGAAGAGGCAAGUGGAAUUCCCGGUGUAGCGGUGAAAUGCGCAGAUAUCGGGAGGAACACCAAUGGCGAAGGCAGCUUGCUGGGACGGUACUGACGCUGAGGCGCGAAAGCGUGGGGAGCAAACAGG